rnacentral:rRNA from 1 species
UAGGGAAUAUUGCACAAUGGGGGAAACCCUGAUGCAGCGACGCCGCGUGAGUGAUGAAGGCCUUCGGGUCGUAAAGCUCUGUUGAACGGGAAGAAACAAAUGACGGUACCGUUUAAGAAAGGAUCGGCUAACUUCGUGCCAGCAGCCGCGGUAAUACGAGGGAUCCUAGCGUUGUUCGGAAUCAUUGGGCGUAAAGAGUAUGUAGGCGGCCUAGUAAGUCAGUUGUGAAAGCCCCGGGCUCAACCCGGGAAGUGCAAUUGAUACUGCUUGGCUUGAAUGUGGAAGAGGGCAGUAGAAUUCCAGGUGUAGUGGUGAAAUACGUAGAUAUCUGGAGGAAUACCGGUGGCGAAGGCGGCUGCCUGGUCCUACAUUGACGCUGAGAUACGAAAGCGUGGGGAGCAAACAGGAUUAGAUACCCUUGUAGUCCCUGAGCGGGCUGGCAAGGCGCAU